AUGAGGUGGCUGACCUCGUCGGCCCGUGGCCGCCAUACGCUCGCCGCCCAGGCUUCCUCCGUCGGCAGGUCCUCGCCGUCAAAGCGGACGGCGCACGCCAGUGCCAGGAGCGCCCUGGCCAUGGCGCCGCCCACGCUCGGCGCCACCGCCGCGGCGGCGCCGGCAUCGCCGUGGGCGCCGAGGCCGAGCGCGCUCUCGUCCACCACCCGCGCCGUAGACCUCCUCCCCCUGCGCCGCCGCCACCGCAGGCCCUGCCGGACGAGCGCCACCACGUCGCCCCACAUGAAGACCGCCGGCAAGAAGCUAGACACGGGCGGCACAGCAGUAUGGAAUGGACUGAUCACACGUACGUACGCGCGCGGCCUCUCCUCGAACUCUCACCACCAGAGCUUGGCGGGGACACGGCAGCCGAAGCACAUGCUUACGUGCACGCACACUCUUGUCGAUCACACGGCUCGCACCACGCCCAUGGAUCCUCCCGUGCUUGGAGCCACCAGCUGCGUCGUCCACACACACAGCAUCUCGGUGGGGGUUGUGGCAGAUCACAGGUAUGGUAUAUAUGCGCGCUGGUCCGAGGGAACUAGAAGGGAGCGGAGCUGGGGGAUGGUGGAAGCACGCAGGGAUCACGGUGGUUUAUAUGGAGGGAGGAAGAGGAGACAGGCGGAAGAAGAUGAUGGUGGUGGGGAGAGGGGAGCACUCAACGGCACGUACUAG
rnacentral:rRNA from 1 species